UGCGGUGCCUUUGCUCGAAAGUGCUAAGCUUCGUUUUUUUUUUGUUUACUGAUAGCGGAAGCGCUAAGGUAGUCUUUUUGCGGGUAUGAUUUCCCCCGACUUGCCUCUAUCGUACUGUUUAUAGCAUAUAUACGACUUUACGCUGUUGCUUGCUACUUCAUAUACAUGCAUGCUAAACAAUUUAUGUUUCGAGUAUGAUAGUUUCGUGUUGAGCAUAGUGCGUACCAAUUGUAAAACAGCAAUACAGAAGCCUUUGCUCCACUUAGUGGUCAUGUGAUAUGAUAUGUAUAAAAAUCAAUAAGGAAACUGUGGCACAGUGACUCAAUGCCAAUGCAUUUGUGUAUGCUUUGUUUGUUUGUUGAGUAGAGCAAGUUUUAGUAGAGUUGUGCCUAUUUCUUGACAAUAUCAGAGUUUUUUGGUGAUGCAUAUGCUGCUUGAGAAAUAGAAGGGAAAACAGCAGUACUACGCUCAUGUUAAAUUACAAGUACCUGAGGCCUAGUUCGGUAGGGCUUGGGCUUCUUCAUGAUAAGUUGGCAAGUGCGUUUUGCACUUACUAGUACAUAUGAUGCUCAAUCUUAUCUAGUUAUCCUCACUAAUAGACAAUCACAUCUUGUUAGUAGUAUCAAGCUCAAGACAACUAACGUGUCUAGCUUUUAAAUUUUCACUUUAUGUGUUGGCUGCUUCCUUAGUUUCUUGCAGACUAAUUUGAGCUUCUUUGUUUUAAAGGCUUGUGAGUUGUUAUUAUCCUUUGUUUUUUUAGAAGAAAGGUAGGAACUCUUUCUAAAGAUUAGAGGGUGUCUUUCUGAACACUUGUGAUUUAAUCCAGACAUCUAGCACACUUGCAAUUGUGCAAUUAUUUUUAUGCUUCAUGUUGAUGAUGAAUUGACGAUAACACAGUAAAAAAAUACUGGGUGAACAUGAUGACGAAUAAGAAACAACCAGUGAGAUAUGUAGAGUAGAUUGAAGUUGAAGUUACUCUGAUAGAUUGAAAGAUGGAUCAUGCCAGUAAUUCUGAAAUGCAUCGAACAUAAUAAUGCUACCUUCUGACAUGGAAUUUUUAUUGUUUGAGUAUAAGUGAAUUGCCCACCUCUCCCCAUCAGCUUAAGCUUUUGGGUUGAACUGGUCAAGUGCAUGCAACUCAAUAUGGUAUCAUUCGCCUAGUUUAUAUUCUAACCCUAGCUGUCGCUGCUUCCGCACUGCGUGUCCCCGGGAAGAGGUCGAUCUCCGUCGAGGGCAGCGCCCCUCUUUAGGCGCCCGAUCCUAUUGAUCUGGCUGCCAUCGUCGUCGUCGCACAGCAGAUCGGGAUCUCCCCUACAUCAUCGCCAGGUUGCCGUCGCCGCCUCAUCCCCGGGCUCGCCGCCGGCUGUCGCCAUCAACACCUGAUCUUCAUCGCAUGGAGGCAGAUGGAUCUCGCCCUGUCCCGUGCUGCCGUGGUGGCGGCCAGGGCCGGCCACACGCCUCGACCCUACGCUGCCAUGGAGGCAGCCAGAUCUAGCGUGUCGCUGUUGUCGGGUGGAUCUGCCCAUCUCCACUUCGUCAAUCUGCGUCGGCACCUUCGACCCCGCGUGUUUGUGACCCGCCGUGCGCCUUGCGCCGCCCGAUUGGGACGCACCGCCGCCGUCGUGUCGUCUUGCUGGGUACACCCGAUCUGCUGCUGCUGUAUUUUUUUUGGUUUGCCCGAUCGCUGAAGGAUUGAGUCGCCCACCGCCCGUCGACCUCGCGUGUUCUACUCCAACAUCGGCAUCGACUUCAUCGACACCGUCUCCGAGUAUUACGUGCAUUUUCUCUGAGCAACAGGGCUGCUGUUGUGUCGCCUCAUCAGGCCACAACACCGCUGUCCGUGUGUACGCGUCGCUGUUGCAUCUCCAUCGCCGUCAUCCGUGCAUCGACGACUGUGCUGUCCAAUCCCUGCUGCGCCAUCCGUCUGCACAAGGUCUUCGUCCUGCUGAUUGGGUCUUCGUCAUCGAGCUGCCACUACCCGUGUCGUUGCUGUUGCUUGCCGACGCGUCUUCUCCUGCACUGCUUCUUCUUCGUCCAGCACAACCACACGGUCGGGGCCCUCGCUCUUGUACGCUUGGUAUUGGCAACACCAACGCAUGCUUUCGUCCCCGACGCGUUGCUGGAUCUGGCAAAUCCAGCUGCGCCUCGGUGCCCUGUCUGCCUCGAUUGCGUCGUCGCCCUUCUACAACGGUCCUGAUUGCAUCGACUUCGGCAUCGCCCCCUCCCACGACGCUGCCUCGACGCGUCUCCGUCAUUACCAUGCACGACUUCUUCGACCACGGCUAUUGUGCCCUUGCGCUCGGCUACCUCGACAUUGGCAGAAAGGGCUACCGUCUUGCAUUAGGACUCAUCGGCUUCUUCUCCAGCCACAGCAUACGUGGCACAUCGACUGUUAUGACUGCGGGGGGAUGUUACUUAUCAGCUUCUUCUCCAUUCUUACCGUCUGUAGCGCUCCCGCUAUGACUGCGGGGGGAUGUUAGAGUAAAUAGGAAUAGUACCACAUUGUGUAUCUACAUAAGGUGUUAGUCCUAUGUACCCUAUAUAAUCAGCCCAUGAGGCCCAAUGCAAUACAUCAAAUAUUCCACCAA